rnacentral:lncRNA from 1 species
CACCGUGAUCUUGGACUUCUCAGCUUCUAGAAUGUUCAGGUGGACAUGGACUCCAUGGAAGCCUGAGCUGCCAGGGGCUUCCCUGGGGCAGCACUGCUUCGCGUAGGCUCACGAGAAACUUCCAGGGUUCCUGGCUUUCUCUGAGCUUGUUACCGUGGAGGGCUGGGCCCGGUUUCUAAUCGCCCCCUUCACCGGGCUGCCUGCCGCUGGCUGCGGAAAGUGUGGGUUUGGCUGCAUGAUGGCCUCGUAAUGGCUGUGGUGACGCCCUCUGCGUCUUCUCCCAGCGCCAGCCUUUCAACAGAGCAGCACAUUAUGCCUGGAUAAGACUCAAAGAGCAGCUUAAUAUCAGGUUCUCUGGGGCUGUAAUCAUCGGUUCAGGAUGGAGCAGACACAGCCGCAGCAAGGCCUCUGUGCAGCCCCCGGUUUAAAACACAUCAACGCAUCCGUGGGCACUUUUGUGAGUUAAAGCUCAACUUACACAUCUGCCUGUAUCCAUAGGAAAUGAAUGAAAAUAAACAAACAAAUUCCUUGCAUUCAACGCAGCGUAAGAAAAAUCACAUCCUGUUCCCCAGUAGCUGAGGAAAGCCGGCUCACGAGAGUAUACAGGGAGAAGAGGCCAGCAUUGUGUGGCUGCCAGCAAAGCUCACUUGUAUGUCAAAUGCAGCGCUUUUCUUAGCCCAUUAUGUAUUUUUUUUUUCUUGAACACUCCUGUGUCUACUGGGAUCUCCUGUUUUUAUUGUUUUGGGAUGAGAUUUUAAAAACACCAUUUAAUGUAGCCUGUGUGCUCUUGUUCAUUAAACCAAAAAGAAACCCUG